GACAGAGGGUGCAAACGUUUGUUCGGAAUUACUGGGCGUAAAGCGCGUGUAGGCUGCCCCGCAAGUCGGAUGUGAAAGCCCUGGGCUCAACCCAGGAAGUGCAUUCGAAACUGCGGGGCUGGAGUCCUGGAGAGGAAGGCGGAAUUCUCGGUGUAGAGGUGAAAUUCGUAGAUAUCAAGUGGAACACCAGUGGCGAAGGCGAGUCCCUGGACAACUCCUGACACUGAGGCACGAAAGCUAGGGGAGCAAACAAGG
rnacentral:rRNA from 1 species